GUAACGCGUAUGCAAUCUACCUUUCACAGAGGGAUAGCCCAGAGAAAUUUGGAUUAAUACCUCAUAGUAUAAUGAGUUGGCAUCAACACAUUAUUAAAGUCACAACGGUGAAAGAUGAGCAUGCGUCCCAUUAGCUAGAUGGUAAGGUAACGGCUUACCAUGGCUACGAUGGGUAGGGGUCCUGAGAGGGAGAUCCCCCACACUGGUACUGAGACACGGACCAGACUCC
rnacentral:rRNA from 1 species